AUAGACUUUCACAGCUGUAGCAAGACCUCCUAAGAGCCCACUUUCAGCUUCUUGAAUUAACAAACUUUUUGACAUUUUGAGAUUUCUAUAAUUUGUCAAUGAUUUAACAAUAAUGUUGGUUUUUGUUGUUUUCCCUGAUCAAAUACAUAUUAGAAGUACGUAUGUUGGGCUUUGCCAUACAAAAAAGCAACAUCUUUGGCAUAACAUAUAUACAUUUAUGUUUUCCAAUGAUUUUUAUAAACUAUUAUUAAGUAUUUUGUAGGGGCUGCAAUAUUUGACAUGGAAUAUGCAAGAUGGCUAGAAGAGGACCACCAGUACAUGUCGGAGCUCCACACAGCAUUGAGGGACAUUUAUUGGAAGGGAAAACAAGAACCUUACAGCCACACCUCGCUACACAAGUGUCAACACUCAUCUUCGACUUGCUCAGUUAUGUUUAUAGUCACAAUAGAUUGCUACCUUUUUCAGUUAUCUAUUUCUUUGUUAGGGCAAGUUCUCAGUAAUUGGUAAAUGAGACCGGAGUCAGUUUUAUCGUGUACUAUUGAAUGUCCUUUUAUUUUGCUUUCAGAGCAAAACAGAAGGAAUGAUCUGGAAAUUCUUUAUUUGUGAUUUACGAUGGUUGGUGCCAAUAAGAAUAAGCCUAGGAAGAAGAUUGAAAACGACAAGGCUUUCCAAGCUGUUGCUGAGCUUCAAACUUUCGUUGCCUCAGUAAAACUUUGAUACACUCUGCCCUUAUCUAUCUAUCUUUCUAUUAUCUAUUAUCUAUCUAUCUAUCUAUUACUAUCUAUAAAAUUGUAAGUGUAGGCGUGAUUUGGCGGCGAGUUCCCUCCUCACUUUGUACUCUCACGUGUGGCAAGUUCCCUCCUCACUUUGUACUCUCGCGUGUGGAUGUAUAUAUCUUCAAAUGUACCGUUGGAUUGCUUUCUUUCUUCUAAUAGAUGGCUAUGAUGGGCAGUUGCUUUUCAUUUGUUUGUUUAUAUAGUUUUGUCUUUUUUGGUCCCAGUUUGUGCACGUGUCAACGCAAGGGUAGUAAACAUCUGAAAUCUGGUGCAUGCACCUGCUUUUACUUCGCCUGAGGCCUUGCUUUUCUUGGGUUCAUGCAUGGGGAUUGGAGUCUUGCUUUCUUCUCCCCUCCCAAUACAACUCAGCGACCCAUCGUUGAUCUUCUUGGGUCAUCGAUUACAUGGGCACAUGCGAGCUUGAUUUGACUCAGGCAUAUCUCGGAUCUCCGUCGAUUCUCCCGCGUUCCAUGGAAUUGUACCUUCGAUUUCGUCCGUUGUCAAGAAGUGAAUAAGAGGAGUGAAGAAGGGUGCAACGCUACACUGAUUUAUGUAAACGAUCUAUUCAACUGAGUGAAGAAGGAUUACUAUCUGAAGAGAGUUAUAAUAUAGCACUAUCAAUCAUGCUCUUUCUAUUUGUGAAGCAGAAUACAGUCGGGAAAAGGAAGGUUAGCCUAACACUUGAAAAAUUCAAUAUCAUGUGGUUGCAACUGUAAGGAGUAGAGCUCUAACUAAUAUCUCCAAAGAUCAUUAUGCUUUCAUGUUGGUGGUGGAAACUCAGCAGCUUCUCAUUCAACCAAGUGCGGCGUAUCGGUUUCUCUCACAUAAUUGAAUUAUCAUUUCCUUUGACAUUUUAGGGGGCUUGCGUUGAGGACUAGGUUAACUUUUCAAUGGCCACUACAGGACACAACCGAAUGGUUUGACCAAUUUUCCAAUUGACAAGGGGCUAGGAUAAAGUUCAAUAUAAGUUCCCUCUCUAUUUGUUCUCUAUUUCAAAGCGCAUUUUGUGGUAUUGUUUAAGUCCUCCAUUUUUAUUAUUGUUAUCCUUUACAAACUCUAAAAGAUUUUUCACUACGAUUAUUGUACAAGUACAAAGAUAAUGAUAUGUUAUAAACAGAGUGGAAUAAACUAAAGAUAUGAAGUUUACAUGAA